rnacentral:tRNA from 1 species
AGCUGUUUAGUUUAUUAUUGAAUUUUCAUUUGUGGUAUGAAAGGAUUUACGGCUU